AAGCGCUUGCAAUCAGACUCGCCUUCAGUUGAUCAGCCUUCCUUCUGGUUGGUGCACUCUGCUGUUGGCGGGCCAGCAUCAGUUGGGGCGGCGGGACAAAGGCGGCAGGAAUGUGGCUCGUUCGCGAGUGUUAUAGCCUGCCGUGUCAUGCCGCCAGCCCCGACUGAGGUCCGCGGUUCGCCUAGGAUGCUGGCUUAAUGGUUGUAAGCGA
rnacentral:rRNA from 1 species